GACACAUUCGGACCGUCGGACUACCGAGCAAAUUCACCCGCUCGGUGGAAGAUCUUUCCCUUUGUCGU
rnacentral:pre_miRNA from 1 species